CUACGGGCGGCUGCAGUGGGGAAUAUUGGACAAUGGGGGAAACCCUGAUCCAGCAAUGCCGCGUGUGUGAAGAAGGCCUGCGGGUUGUAAAGCACUUUCGGUUGGGAGGACUGCUUCUAGCACUAAUAUUGUUGGAAGUUGACGUUACCUUCAGAAGAAGCACCGGCUAACUCCGUGCCAGCAGCCGCGGUAAUACGGUGGUGCAAGCGUUAAUCGGAAUUACUGGGCGUAAAGCGCGCGUAGGCGGCUAGAUCAGUCGGGUGUGAAAGCCCCGGGCUUAACCUGGGAACUGCAUCCGAUACUGUCUAGCUUGAGUACAGGAGAGGAGAGUGGAAUUCCACAUGUAGCGGUGAAAUGCGUAGAUAUGUGGAGGAACACCAAUGGCGAAGGCAGCUCUCUGGCCUGAUACUGACGCUGAGGUGCGAAAGCGUGGGGAGCAAACAGGAUUAGAUACCCGCGUAGUC
rnacentral:rRNA from 1 species